GUGAAUUGGGCCCCCGUGGUCCUUAUUCCAAUCCCACACCUUUUGUGCACUUGUUUCCAGGGAGCUUUGGCGUUGUGGCUUUAGCCCCCGCCAUUGUUCUUUACCAAACGUUGAAUCAGUUAGAAAGGUUGCCUUCGAAUAGGACAA
rnacentral:misc_RNA from 1 species